rnacentral:lncRNA from 1 species
AUAUCUGAAUGCCAUAGAUGUAGAUCUGAAGGAAGGGUGGAUUCAGACCUAAGACCUUUUUAACUUGUUCUCCUCAGCAUUGCCAGAUGCUUCCCUGACAUGUUUCUUCCUGCUGUGCAGAGCUCAGACAUGAGUGCUUUUCAUCUGAGGAACGAGAAACAACAGUAUCUUCAGGUUUCUCCUGCCUUCCUUUCCUGUCCUUACUACUUUGGAGCAGCUCGGUGA